rnacentral:tRNA from 1 species
CAGGGAAUAGUUUAAGUAGAACUUCAGCUUUGGGUGUUGAUAGUGG